rnacentral:rRNA from 1 species
GUCUUUUUGAUUAUAAUUUAAAGUCUGACCUGCCCUAUGAUUAAAAGUUAAAUGGCUGCGGUACUUUGACCGUGCAAAGGUAGCAUAAUCAUUAGUUUUUUAAUUGGGAACUGGUAUGAAAGGUCGAACGAAAAAGAGACUGUCUCAAUUUAAUUUAAAUUAGAAUUUUAUUUUUAAGUAAAAAAGCUUAAAUAUAUUUAAAAGACGAGAAGACCCUAUAGAGUUUUAUAUUAAGGUAUCUAUGUAGAAAAUUAAAGAAUUGGUUUUUUUUUAUAGUUAUUAAAAUAUUUGGUUGGGGCGAUUAAAAAAUUGAAUAAACUUUUUUUAAAUUAUACCAUUGAUUUAUGAAUAAGUGAUCCAUAUUUAAUGAUUAUAAGAUUAAAUUACCUUAGGGAUAACAGCGUAAUU